UAUACUAUUUUUCCUAUUAAGCUGCGCAAAGUUCGACCACUACAAUUAUUUUGAAUAAUUGAAACUUAGUUUUGGGCGCAGC